rnacentral:rRNA from 1 species
GUAGUCAUAUGCUUGUCUCAAAGAUUAAGCCAUGCAUGUCUAGGUAUAAACAACUUUAUACUGUAAAACUGCGAACGGCUCAUUAUAUCAGCAAUAAUUUAUUUGAUGUUUUCUUACUACAUGGAUAACUGUAGUAAUUCUAGAGCUAAUACAUGCGUAAAGUCCCAACUCUCGCGGGAAGGGAUGUAUUUAUUAGAUAAAAAACCAAUGCGGGUUCUGCUCGCUUUUGUGUUGAAUCAUAGUAACUUUUCUGACGCCAUAGCCUUGUGCUGGGCGUAGAUCAUUCAAAUUUCUGCCCUAUCAGCUUUCGACGGUAGUGUAGUGGACUACCGUGGCGUCAACGGGUAACGGGGAAU